rnacentral:lncRNA from 1 species
CAGUAUCUGAGAUGAACAACUUAUAACAGAACCUUUAUUUUGCCUCACAGUCUCAGAGGUUUUGGUCUAUGAAUGGGUGGCCUGGUGUCUUUUAGGCCUGUGGUGGCACAGUGAAUAGGUGCAGGAGCACAUAUUAGAGAAGGCUGCUUACCUUAUGACAGCUGGGAAGUAAAAGGAGAGGACUGGAGUCCCUAAAGCUCCCUUAAAGGCCACACCCUCAAGGACCUCACUUCCUCCCAUUAGGCCCUGCCUCCUGAAGAUUCCACCAUUUCCCAAUAACUCUAUAGAAUGAAAAAGUUUCAGCCUAUAGGGCUUUGGGAUGCAUUUAAGAUCCAAACCAUAACAAAGUCACAUUCAGAGAGCAAGUAAGAAUGAAGGUGAAGGUUACCCUAAAAGAGACCCGGCUCCUGGUGAUAUAUGUACUCACCCCAUUGCAAGCCCACAAAGUGACGGAUCAGUAGGUUUGCAAAUCUCCAGCGGUCUGCUGUUUCCAUUAGACAGUGUUGCAAGAUUAAACACAGGACAUUCUGUUAAAUGUGACUUACAGCAAACACGACUGCUGCAGGUGGAGUUUUCUAGGUACA